rnacentral:rRNA from 1 species
UACGAAGGGGGCGAGCGUUGUUCGGAAUCACUGGGCGUAAAGGGCUCGUAGGCGGCCAACUAAGUCAGACGUGAAAUCCCUCGGCUUAACCGGGGAACUGCGUCUGAUACUGGAUGGCUUGAGGUUGGGAGAGGGAUGCGGAAUUCCAGGUGUAGCGGUGAAAUGCGUAGAUAUCUGGAGGAACACCGGUGGCGAAGGCGGCAUCCUGGACCAAUUCUGACGCUGAGGAGCGAAAGCGUGGGGAGCGAACAGG